rnacentral:rRNA from 1 species
GACGAACGCUGGCGGCGUGCUUAACACAUGCAAGUCGAACGGUAAGGCCCUUCGGGGUACACGAUUGGCGAACGGGUGAGUAACACGUGGGUGAUCUGCCCUGCACUUCGGGAUAAGCCUGGGAAACUGGGUCUAAUACCGGAUAGGACUCCUGGCUUCAUGGUUGGGGGUGGAAAGCUUUUGCGGUGUGGGAUGGGCCCGCGGCCUAUCAGCUUGUUGGUGGGGUAAUGGCCUACCAAGGCGACGACGGGUAGCCGGCCUGAGAGGGUGACCGGCCACACUGGGACUGAGAUACGGCCCAGACUCCGACGGGAGGCAGCAGUGGGGAAUAUUGCGCAAUGGGCGCAAGCCUGAUGCAGCGACGCCGCGUGAGGGAUGACGGCCUUCGGGUUGUAAACCUCUUUCAGCACCGACGAAGCGCAAGUGACGGUAGGUGCAGAAGAAGGACCGGCCAACUACGUGCCAGCCGCCGCGGUAA